CAAAGGCGACAAUCAGGUCAACAACAGAACGGUGCAGGUGCUCAGCAAAGGACAGUUCACCAAUGAGAAAUGGAUGAAUAUCCAAGUCGGCGAUAUUAUAAAACUGGAGAAUAAUAAUUUUGUAACGGCAGAUCUUCUGUUGCUGUCCAGCAGUGAACCCAACAGCUUGAUCUACAUAGAAACCGCGGAGCUUGACGGGGAAACCAACUUGAAGGUGAAACAAUCGCUGACAAUUACAGGAGAUCUGGGCGAGAACUUACAGC